GUCCCAUUGGUCUAUUGGUAGGACGUCAGGCUUUCAACCUGAAGAGAGGGGAUCAAUACCCCUAUGGGACACCA
rnacentral:tRNA from 1 species